GACCAUGUAGGGACUGUGCAGCAGAGCUUUGGCCCCAGAGAAAACUCGACAUGGACGGGUUGUAUUCAGCUUGCAGGAGCUGACAUUGCAUGUGGUUUAGGAAGCCAAAAGCCUUUUCUGUGAACAUCUGGCCUUCAAGUGUCACAUCUGGAAAAGCUAGCAUUUUCAAGUCUUGCUACACUUCAUUUUGUUUUUCAUUUGUGGUAAGUAAAAAACAAUCUAGAUUUGCAGAAAAAGACAGCAUAAAAUCACCAUUUAACCAAACUUCUAAUUUUGAUACCCAUAACAAAAGCAAAGGCUAGAAUUUUCUCUCAAUUCAGCCAGAAUAAACAAGUCAUUCAAAAA